UAUCUUGUAGUUAGUGUUGUAUUUGGAGGUAUUAAAGAUGAGUGAUAACUUGAUGGAUAAAGUGACCUCUUUGGGUGAGCGUCUAAGGAUCGCUGGGAAUGAAGUUAGUAAGAAAAUGAGUGCUAGUGUGAGAUCUAUGAGUGACAAAAUGAAGGAACUAUUCCAAGGGCCGAAUCAGGCAGAUAAGAUUGUUGAGGAGGCGUCUGCAAAGAGUUAAUGAGUUUGAGAUACAUUUUAUAAUCGAGAGGGCAUGAGAAUAAGUGUGGAAGGAAUCCUACUGGUAUGCUACUCUCUUAUUUAAUUUUCUUUUGGGGAUUGAUGGGACCUAAUCACUCUUUAUCUCUACUCCUUCAUCUUCGUUUUUUUAACUCUUACAGUUCAAUCAUCACCAUAAUCGCCUCAAUUUUCUCUCUCCUAGGGUUUCCAAUGGAAGUUGUUAGGGGUUGUCUCACUAACUAGGUCCGUUUCUUCGCAAUUUGUAGAACCUCAGGAUUCUCCAUCUAAUUUCAAGUUCGAAUUACUCGAGGUAUAUUAGGUAUUUGUUUAAAAUAUGUAUUUUUAUCUUAUUUUGCAAAAUUGUUAUAAUGAACCUAAUUAAGGUUAGAAUUAAUAGGUGAAUUGUUGCAGCAAUUUGUUCAUCCUCCUUUCUUCUUAGAUUGCAUCUCUUUUUCUAGUUAAAUUUCUUUAAUUGCAUAUUUCGUUGGUAUGUUUUCAUAUUUUAUGGGAAUUUGCAAUUUAAGCCCUAUUUUCUGUUUAAAAUUAUAAUGUUAGUCCACAGAGCAUUCUCAACGUUAAGGUUUUCAUCUAGGUUUCAGUAAUGACUUGGUUUUAAUAAUGUAUUUGUUUGAAAUUCUGUUUUUUUUUUAUCGUAUGGCUUGGUUUCACACGUUACUUCUAUGUUAGCUCUUGUCCUAUCUGAUGUUAAUUUCUCUCUGAAAUAUCAUUUACCCAGGUUAUUCUUCUGUUUUAGUUUCUUUGGUCAAGUGUGAUGUAAGAGAUAUCCUUAGAGCUAUAGCUUCAUAAUGAAAAAUAGAAAAUCAAAUUGAAUGCAGGAGAUGGUUUACAAGAAAGAAGCAAAAAUGGACUAAAAUUUAGGUGAGUGAGCUAUUUAUGUUUACAGGGCUGUUGCUUGUCUAGAUCUUCCAAGGUUAUUUUGGCAAGCAAUAUGCUUGAUACUGAUAACCUGACAUGAGCUAUGGCAGGUUGCUUUGCGGGUGCCUCGUCCCAUUCAUGAUCCCUUUCAUAGUAAGCCAGAUUAUACAA